CCUACUCCCCCUAUGAAGAGGGCUACAGGAUUCCCAAAUAAGGCAACAGGUUCCUGCCUGUCACUGCCUGUGAUCACGGCUGGGCUAUGUGUGAGGAAACCAAGGAAAAAGAAAAACCACAACCUUUUUUGGAAAGCUUCCUGCCUUUCUGCAUGGAGAAAUGUGAGGAUUGCUUCGGUGACUCAUCCUGUCAAGGCUGAGAGAGAGGAGGGUGAAUUUUACCUUACAUGUCUUUCAACUUAUAGGUUUAGUGGUGAAAGUUGCCAAUCAAAGCAGGAAAUUAGAAGGGGGUGGGAGCCUUGCCUAAGAAUUUGUUCCAGUCCAAGGUAAAGAGAAGUAUAUGCUUCAAGACUUGAGCCAAGCCUUUGUAUGGAUAAAGCUGCCCCAGCGCCCUGCCACCGCUACACCUCUCUUAGUAGCCCUUCUGAACACUUCAGAGAGGAACACCCCAGGAAUCUGCCCGGUGAGAGCCGUGUGGCGGACAGGGUCUUGGGGCUCCGGCCGGGUGUCAGGCCUGAGCCUCUAAGGUGGGAGAGCAGAGUUCACGACGCUGGUCCACCAGAGAACUCCCGGCUCCACGUAAUAUCAAACGGCGAAAGCUCUCCCAGAGAUCUCCGUCUCAACGCCAAGACCCAGCUCCACUCAACGACCAGCAAGCUCCAGUGCUGGACGCCCCAUGCCCAACAACUAGCAAGACAGGACCACAGCCCCGUCCAUGAGCAGAGAGGCUGCCUAAAAUCAUACU